rnacentral:tRNA from 1 species
AGGACCGUAGCUCAGGGGUAGAGCGCUGCCUUGACACGGCAGAGGUCGGCGGUUCGAAACCGCCCGGUCCUA